UACGGAGGGUGCAAGCGUUAUCCGUAUUCACUGGGUUUAAAGGGUGCGUAGGCGGACAGGUAAGUCAGUGGUGAAAUCUCCGAGCUUAACUCGGAAACUUCCGUUGAUACUAUUUGUCUUGAAUACUGUGGAGGUAAGCGGAAUAUGUCAUGUAGCGGUGAAAUGCUUAGAUAUGACAUAGAACACCAAGUGCGAAGGCAGCUUACUACACAGCGAUUGACGCUGAGGCACGAAAGCGUGGGAAUCAAACAGG
rnacentral:rRNA from 1 species